GUCCACGCCCUAAACGAUGGAUGCUAGGUUUGCGGGGUAUCGACCCCCUGUGAGCCGUAGGUAACCCGUUAAGCAUCCCGCCUGGGGACUACGACCGCAAGGUUAAAACUCAAAGGAAUUGACGGGGGCCCGCACAAGCAGCGGAGCGUGUGGUUUAAUUCGAUGCUAAGCGAAAAACCUUACCAGGGCUUGACAUGUAGGUGGUACGGAUCCGAAAGGUGAAGGACCCGCAAGGGAGCCUAC
rnacentral:rRNA from 1 species